UGGAAAAGUAAUAAAGUUCCAGAUAGAAUUGAAAUUAGAAAACAAGCUAUAUAUCAAUGUAAAAUGGAAAGCGGAAUAAUCCAAGGAAAUUCUGUCGGUUUGAGAAAAUUCUGUACUUGGGAAAAACUGGUGGAUAAGUUUAUUGCUAGUAAUUAGAGCUUAUAAUAUAGUAGGUUGGUGUGGCCCCCACUGUGUGUCUGAUCCUGGAGGGACGUUAGUAAUAAUGCACUUAUUAAUUUGUGAAAGUAAUAAGGUGAUGAUAAUAUCUUAGUCCCACGGGAUGGAAUGUGCGAAAGGUAUGAAUUUUGGGUUUUAAUGUUUCCUCUAUUUUGAUAUCAUGUUUUUUAUAGAUAUGGUUAUUUUGUAUUGAGAUACCCUGGUAAUGCCAUAGAAGGAUACUUACG